UCUGCACCGACUGUUUCUGCAGUGUCUCUGUCUGUCAGUCCAAACCUUCAGCAGGUCUUCAGUGGAUCUUCUUCAGUGGAUCUGAGUUGUGUUGAUGAUGGACAGACAGCUGAUGGAUGGACAGUGAAGAGGAUCAGAGGAGGACUCACUGAGGACUGUGGAGCAGCUGCAGGCUCUGGGAGGCUUCUUGGUUCCUACUGUGUUGUGGAUCUUUCUGCUCCCAGUGAAACCUUCUGGUGUGAGGACUCCUCUGGACAGCAGAGUGACAGAGUCUCCUUCAGUGUCCAAUCAGACACUAAAAAUAAAGCUGUCAUCCUGGAGAUCCCUGCACUUCCUGUGAGGACAGGAAGUGAUGUCAUUCUGCGCUGCAGACAGAGGAAUGGUGCCACAGUCGCAGCUUAUUUCUUCAUCAAAGGAAGUUCUGUUGGUCCUAAACCAGAGCACAUCAUCACUAACAUCCAGCAGGCUGAUGAAGGUCUCUACUGU